GCUCUGGUGGCUCAAUCGGAUAGAGCGUUGGACUUCUACUCCAAAGGCUGCGGGUUCAAGUCCCGCCCAGAGUA
rnacentral:tRNA from 1 species